rnacentral:rRNA from 1 species
GAUGAACGCUGGCGGCGUGCCUAAUACAUGCAAGUCGAGCGAACGGACGAGAAGCUUGCUUUUCUGAUGUUAGCGGCGGACGGGUGAGUAACACGUGGAUAACCUACCUAUAAGACUGGGAUAACUUCGGGAAACCGGAGCUAAUACCGGAUAAUAUUUUGAACCGCAUGGUUCAAAAGUGAAAGACGGUCUUGCUGUCACUUAUAGAUGGAUCCGCGCUGCAUUAGCUAGUUGGUAAGGUAACGGCUUACCAAGGCAACGAUGCAUAGCCGACCUGAGAGGGUGAUCGGCCACACUGGAACUGAGACACGGUCCAGACUCCUACGGGAGGCAGCAGUAGGGAAUCUUCCGCAAUGGGCGAAAGCCUGACAGAGCAACGCCGCGUGAGUGAUGAAGGUCUUCGGAUCGUAAAACUCUGUUAUUAGGGAAGAACAUAUGUGUAAGUAACUGUGCACAUCUUGACGGUACCUAAUCAGAAAGCCACGGCUAACUACGU